rnacentral:lncRNA from 10 species
CCUGGCACCGGUCAUCUGUCUGCUCAGUGAGUGGGAGGGCUGGUACCUUCUCUUGUUUCUGAGACCCAGGUAGCAAAGGAGUUUGAGUUUGCAGUUGGAAUCAAAGGCUCUCCAACAAGGAAACAACUAAUAAUCAUGGUAAAAUAAAGUCAGUGAAAUAAAAACUGAAAGAAGCUGCCACCAAGAGACCUGCACUAAAGGAAAUUCUGACAGAUAUUCUUUGGGUAAAGAGAAGAUCCCAGAUGAAAGCUUGGAGAUGAAGGAAAAAUUGAAGAGGAAUGAAAAUGGAAACAACACAGGUGUGUUCCUGCAAGACCUCUCUUUCCCUAGGGGAAAACAGAGACAUCUCAUCACAGAUAGCUCUAGGUUUGCCUUGGCCAUGAUGUCCAAGUGGUCUGCUUGGUUCCAUGCCUGCGUCUGAGCUGGCUCUGUGGGAGGUGCCAAGCUGCCUUCGACACUGUGCAUGGCACUUUAAAGCUCUCAAUAAAUAUUUUUCAAGUGAAGUCAAUGAAGCAAGAAAGAAUCUCAACUAGUUUUGAGUUUUGGUUGAAGAGAAGGCUCACAGAGGCUCAGGGAAGCCCUCAGGUUUCAUGGGGACAGCCUGAAGAAUGACCUUCAUAUAAUGGCCACACAGCCACUUGGGCCACCGGAGCUCACCGUGAGACACACUCACCAUCUCGUCUUCAUGUCUGGUGCUCCCUUUAGUUUUCUGGCAAGAAGCUAGGGAGAAGGUGACUUGAGCUCCUCGUGUGUUUUGAUCACUCAACAAAGAAGACAAAAGGGCGUUUCAUAACCUGACAGUGGGAGAGCACAUUAAAAAGGAGCUGAGCUGACCUUUGCACUGUCUAUGAAGAAUGAGUUUCCUAAACUCAUCAUAGCAACAAGAUAUAACGGGGGUUAUUAAGCCACUAAAACUUUUUCUGAAUUCAUAUGCACUUUUUCCCAAAUAGAAUGCUGACGACAAAUAAUUUUAUCAAUCAUUAAAGAAGAUCCCUUCAGAACCUCUCCAGGGAAAUACUUGUAGCUUAGUUCUGGUUAGCACGUAAUGCCACAAGAAUCUGGCAUCAUUUAGACCAGCCAUUUAUUCAGAUAUCAAGAGCAAGAGACUGUAACUGAUUCCCUGACCUCUGACUAAAAACAAAUAUAAACAGUUCUGUGGACUAAAUGUUGUUUAUCCUGGGAAGGAUGUGGUUUUAUCACUGUUGCCCACAGUAACUGGUCAGCCCCUGUGUCUCAGAAGGGAGCUGAGAAGGCUUGAAAGGGUACACCUACCUGUCCUGGCUGAGCAAGAGGGCCAUCAGAGUGGAGACCACUGUUCCCAGCCAGCCAGUGAGAGCCCACCAGGGGUUCUGAACAAGAAGUCCUACCAGAAUCAGGAUUCCACUGACGGGGUUGUUGACGAACACCACUUGGGAUAUGCCCCGGAGAAUCCAGUCAAUGAACUGGAGCACCACGGGUUUGUCUGGAAGGGAUGAGGUAAAGCAGAGCUAAGGAAGCUGCCAAGUGAUACUCUUCAACCACAGGCCCACCCUGAGCAAAAUCAGCAAAACCUCCUGGAAGUGAAACAUUUUUGAUAUUUCUUUAAUAUUUCUCUCUCAACCCAUUGUUGCAUUAGUGGCACCCAGAUCCCUGAAAGCCUCUAUCUACUGUAUGCUCAACCCACACUGCCCCUCCUAGAAUCUAAGCUCCUGAAAGCAUCUAAUGCACUUAUUUUCAUGCUUAUAGGUACAAAUUCUGAAGCCAAAGGAAUAAAUUUAAGUUUUAAGUACUGAAACUACAGGAUGAAGCCAGGUGCCUUCUAAUAUGAGCUGGGCCCUGGCUACUGUCUCCAUAAGAAAAAAAAAUGGAGAGGUUUGCAGGUUAAAAGAUAAAAGUAGAAAAAUGGUGAGUAAAGAGAUCUAUAAAAAGUUGGAGAAUAUAACUAAAGGUAUAAGUAGAAGUACCAGGAAACCAUUUCCCCCAAAGCUACUUCUCCUGUCUCUCCAAAAUGUGAAAGGAUAAAUACCUUUAAGCUGGUUGGCAAGUUCUUUCAUGUCACCGGUGACAUAGCCAAGAGCUUUGGGGAA